GGUAGGAGCUGCGCCUCCUUGGCGAGCGCCGCGUUGGGGCGAGACUCGGCCCGGGACCCCGCUAGUCCCCGCCGCGCCCUGUGUCCCGCCGCCUGCAGGAUUCGCCCGGGGACCCAGCCCGCGCUCUCCAGCUACUGAGACGCCUCAGAGGCCAGCAGCUGUUUUGCAUCCCACGAUCAACACUCACAAGCAUCUGGAUACCCUGGGUGAUCAAGGGCAGGUGGAAGUUUUGAAAGCCAACGAGGCCACACAUGUCAUUUCCUCAUGGACUGAACGCCUGGAGCCAGCUUGUCACAAUCAAACUUAGCUUGUCGGGGCUCUGAGCUCUCAUUUGGCCUGCGAGCUGUAGACAUAGAAAGGACUUAUGAAGAAUAAUUCUAAACAAGAAGAAAAAAGGUUGGAAGGAUCUGUUGUGAAGAGAAGAAAACAAAGGCUAUCAGCAAUAGAUAACCAAUACAGGAAGGGCAGUUGGUUGCUGUAUUGGAGGAAGAAAUCUGGAUGUCUAUUCAUCAGUUAAACUUGCAAGUAACUCUGGGUUUAGACCCAUCCUACACCCAGCAUUUAGAAGUAUUUG